AGAUUGAACGCUGGCGGCAGGCCUAACACAUGCAAGUCGAGCGGCAGCACGGGUACUUGUACCUGGUGGCGAGCGGCGGACGGGUGAGUAAUGCCUAGGAAUCUGCCUGAUAGUGGGGGAUAACGCUCGGAAACGGACGCUAAUACCGCAUACGUCCUACGGGAGAAAGCAGGGGACCUUCGGGCCUUGCGCUAUCAGAUGAGCCUAGGUCGGAUUAGCUAGGUUGGUGGGGUAAUGGCUCACCAAGGCGACGAUCCGUAACUGGUCUGAGAGGAUGAUCAGUCACACUGGAACUGA
rnacentral:rRNA from 1 species